AGCGGCGGACGGGUGAGUAACGCGUGGGUAACCUGCCUCAUACAGGGGGAUAACACAGGGAAACUUGUGCUAAUACCGCAUAACAUAACGAGGCGGCAUCGCUUUGUUAUCAAAGGAGCAAUCCGGUAUGAGAUGGGUCCGCGUCCGAUUAGCUAGUUGGUGAGGUAACGGCUCACCAAGGCGACGAUCGGUAGCCGAACUGAGAGGUUGAUCGGCCACAUUGGGACUGAGACACGGCCCAGACUCCUACGGGAGGCAGCAGUGGGGAAUAUUGCGCAAUGGGGGAAACCCUGACGCAGCAACGCCGCGUGAAGGAAGAAGGCCUUCGGGUUGUAAACUUCUUUGAUUGGGGACGAAGAAAGUGACUGUACCCAAAAAACAAGCCACGGCUAACUACGUGCCAGCAGCCGCGGUAAUACGUAGGUGGCAAGCGUUGUCCGGAAUUACUGGGUGUAAAGGGCGUGUAGGCGGGGAUGCAAGUCAGAUGUGAAAUUCCGGGGCUUAACCCCGGCGCUGCAUCUGAAACUGUAUCUCUUGAGUGCUGGAGAGGAAAGCGGAAUU
rnacentral:rRNA from 1 species